GUGCUCAAUUUGGCAGCACCUGUACUAAAACUGGAAUGAGGCAGAGAAGAUAGCACGGCUCCCGCAGAAGGAUGACAUGCAAAUUCACGAGGCAUUCCACAUUUUU
ensembl:snRNA U6 U6 spliceosomal RNA